rnacentral:rRNA from 1 species
AUACGUAGGGGGCAAGCGUUAUCCGGAAUUACUGGGCAUAAAGGGUGCGUAGGUGGCCUGACAAGUCAGGGGUCAAAGGCAACGGCUCAACCGUUGUAAGCCCUUGAAACUGUCGGGCUUGAGUUCAGGAGAGGAAAGCGGAAUUCCUAGUGUAGCGGUGAAAUGCGUAGAUAUUAGGAGGAACACCAGUGGCGAAGGCGGCUUUCUGGACUGAUACUGACACUGAGGCACGAAAGCGUGGGGAGCAAACAGGAUUAGAUCCCCUGGUAGUCCACGCCGUAAACGAUGGGUACUAGGUGUCGGCCCUAAGGGUCGGUGCCGCAGUUAACACAUUAAGUACUCCGCCUGGGAAGUACGCUCGCAAGAGUGAAACUCAAAGGAAUUGACGGGG